AUGAGUGACGAAAAAAGUCUCGACUCCAGCAAUAAUAGCGGAACAGAGGAGCGCCGAGCCAAGCUCAAGAAACAGAAGAAGCAUAAGAAACACAAAAAGUCCACAUCCAGCAAGAGUGAUAAAGAUAAACAUAUUCACAAAAAGCACAAAAAGUCCAAGAAGCGUCACCACCGCCAUAGCGAGUCUUCGCAUGACUCUGACGCACAUUCAAGCGCCAAGCAACAGAAGAGCUAUGGACUUAGCGACAAGUUCUCCGAAAUCAUGCAGAAGGCGAGCCGCAAUGGCACCGAGUUCUGUAUAUCUAGCUCUAAAUUAUUGCAAACAGACCCGUGUAGUCUCGUGGAAGAGAUUACAAAGACAAUACAGAACAAGGUGCUCCCAGUUUUGGAGGUGGGCAGUUCGAGCAGCGAGAGUGAUGUCCCCAUGGAUGUUGCUAGUCCGAUUAUUGCUUCCAUUAUAGAAGAUGAGUUAAAUUUAGAGGAUCUUAUGAAGCAGAAGGCAUUGCUACAGGCCCGCCUGGGCGCGUACAUGUCGGACCCAGACGCUGAUGAAAGAAGUGAACCCAAUUCCCGAACACAGUCGGUGCAGCAAAUACCCAGCAAGGGCCAUUCGCAGCCAUUAUUCCAACCGCAUCGGAUGGUCGUCAGCAAGUCUGCAGCGCCGUUGGCUACUGCAACUAGUAAAAAUGUUAAUAAUAAACAGUCUAGCAUCCAUAACUCAAAUGAAUCCGAUGUUAUAUUAUUGGAUGAUUCUAGCGGAGGCCAACGCACGCCCUCGCCUACAAAAGAGAAGCGAAGACGACACGCACCACCUUCCACAGCAGCGGCUAGAAGUCGUGUACGCGACGAUCCGGUUCAUGGACGACGUGACCGCCGCUCUAGAGACCGGGAUCCUGUGCGUAGCCGCACUCCCACUCGCCGGAACCUUCAGCAGAACAAUCGUAACAUGGAAGACUUGCGCCAGGAGAUCAAUCGCGAUAAACAGCGGGAAAGACACGAGCAUAGCCGGGAUCGGGAGCGCCGUGGAACAGGAACAGACAGACCACAACCCACUGUUGAACCACGUACUGGUCGUCCACGGGUGCGAGACGGUCGCUUCAAUCGUCAGCGGUCUCACAGUCGCAGUAAGUUUGAGUCAGACAGGCGCCGUGAGCGCGAACGCUUCCAAGAUCGGGAUCGUGGUGGCUUUGGUGGUAACAAUCGUGUUGGAGCACGUGGCGGCGCUGACAACGACCGAGACCGCUACAAAGGCUCACUGAGCGAAGGUCAGAAGAUGCACGACAAGGAGAGCAGUGACGAUGACGUCAAUCUGGAUAUAGACAUCAACGAGGAUGAAGAUGAUGAGGAACGUAUCAUAGAGCAGCGUCGGAAAAGGCGCGAGGAGCUUCUUAAGAAACUGGGAACAGGGCAGGAAUCGCCCACUCCUCAAAAUUCAAACUCUUAUGAGUCUCGUAGCACCUCGGCAGGCUCGUCGCAACGCGAUCGCCAACCAAGAACUCCCACGCCCACCCUCACACUCAAUGACUUGGAUCACUCUAAGGAGCAGCAGCAGUUGGAAAAUUCCAACAGUCAGAAAAAUAGUUCGGGAAAAGAAAAACGCAAUGAGUGGGACAUGUUUGCGGAUCAGGAUGUUGAUUCCAAUUUCGAUUCGCCAAGCACAAUUAUUCACAACAAGCAUCAGCAUGAGAAUCCCUCCCUUACCGACAACUGGGAUGACGCCGAGGGGUAUUAUCGUGUGCGGAUUGGAGAAGUUCUAGACAAUCGCUACUUGGUAAGUGGCUACACGGGUCAAGGAGUGUUCAGCAAUGUGGUGCGUGGGCGGGAUCAGGCCCGGGGACAGGCAAAUGUAGCGAUAAAGAUCAUUCGUAACAACGAAAUUAUGCAUAAAACCGGGUUGCGAGAGUUGGAAAUCCUCAAGAAACUCAACGAUGCCGAUCCCGAAGAUCGUUUCCACUGCCUGCGGUUGAAUCGCCAUUUUUUCCACAAACAGCAUCUCUGCAUGGUGUUCGAGCCACUGGCCAUGAAUUUGCGUGAGGUGUUAAAGAAAUAUGGCAAAAAUGUCGGGUUGCACAUCAAAGCAGUGCGCAGUUACACUCAGCAGCUGUUUUUAGCUCUCAAGCUUCUGAAAAAAACAGGUAUUCUGCAUGCGGACAUUAAGCCGGAUAAUAUUUUAGUCAACGAGAAUAAUUUGAUUCUGAAGCUUUGCGACUUUGGGUCUGCUUCGGCCAUAAGUGACAAUGAAAUUACUCCUUACUUGGUGUCGCGGUUCUAUCGAUCGCCAGAGAUUAUCUUGGGAAUACCAUAUGACUAUGGAAUUGACACUUGGUCUGCUGGUUGCACCAUCUACGAGCUAUAUACGGGAAAGAUUUUAUUCAGCGGAAAGAGUAACAAUCAGAUGUUAAAGUUUUUCAUGGACGUUAAGGGCAAGAUACCAAAUCGUAUUGUAAGAAAGGGUCAAUUCAGAGAGCAGCACUUUGAUCAGAACUGCAAUUUCCUCUAUCACGAGAUAGACAAGCUCACGGAAAGGGAGAAGAUUGUUGUGAUGCCAGUCGUAAAGCCAUCGCGCAAUCUGCAGCAAGAACUCAUUGCGGAUCAAAAUCUGCCCGAUGAUCAGCAUCGCAAGGUCACUCAGCUCAAGGAUCUUCUAGAGAACAUGUUUGCCCUUGAUCCAGCGAAGCGGAUCUCACUCAAUCAAUCACUAAUGCAUCCCUUUAUACAAGAGAAAAUGUAGAGAUGAACAACGACAUCGAAUAAACUGUGCCGCUGAUCAUGGAAGAGCGCUCCUUGUUCGUGUGGCUUACUCAACUGUUGGGUUGACUACACAAGUCUAUACGGAGACCUCUUUGAUCUUCGAGUGAAAUUGUAAGUUUAUACAAAAUACAUUCCAUAUUUCUAAGCUAAGGGUAUGUUAAGAUAACCAAACAGAUACGUGAUAUAAUUUGGUGG